UACAGAGGUCUCAAGCGUUGUUCGGAUUUAUUGGGCGUAAAGAGCGUGUAGGCGGCCAGAUAGGUCAGCUGUGAAAACUCGAGGCUCAACCUCGAGACGCCGGUUGAAACCAUCUGGCUAGAGUCCGGAAGAGGAGAGUGGAAUUCCUGGUGUAGCGGUGAAAUGCGCAGAUAUCAGGAAGAACACCCGUGGCUAAGGCGGCUCUCUAGGACGGUACUGACGCUGAGACGCGAAAGCGUGGGGAGCGAACAGG
rnacentral:rRNA from 1 species